rnacentral:rRNA from 1 species
AUUGAACGCUGGCGGCAUGCUUUACACAUGCAAGUCGAACGGUAACAGGCCUUCGGGUGCUGACGAGUGGCGAACGGGUGAGUAAUGCAUCGGAACGUACCCAGAGGUGGGGGAUAACGCAGCGAAAGCUGUGCUAAUACUGCGUGUGAUCUGAGGAUGAAAGCGGGGGACCGAGCAGCAAUGUUUGGCCUCGCGCCUUUGGAGCGGCCGAUGUCGGAUUAGCUAGUUGGUGGGGUAAAGGCCUACCAAGGCGACGAUCCGUAGCUGGUCUGAGAGGACGACCAGCCACACUGGGACUGAGACACGGCCCAGACUCCUACGGGAGGCAGCAGUGGGGAAUUUUGGACAAUGGGCGCAAGCCUGAUCCAGCAAUGCCGCGUGCGGGAAGAAGGCCUUCGGGUUGUAAACCGCUUUUGGCAGGAACGAAACGGUGUCCGCUAAUACCGGGCGCUAAUGACGGUACCUGCAGAAUAAGCACCGGCUAACUACGUG